rnacentral:rRNA from 1 species
AAUCAACGCUGGCGGCGUGCCUCAGACAUGCAAGUCGAACGCGAAAGUUUCCUUCGGGAAGCGAGUAGAGUGGCGUCCGGGUGAGUAACACGUAGGUAAUCUACCUUUGGGUGGGGAAUAACAACCGGAAACGGUUGCUAAUACCGCAUAAUGCAGCGGCACCACAUGGUGACAGUUGUUAAAGCGGGGGAUCGCAAGACCUCGCGCCUAAAGAGGAGCCUGCGGCGGAUUAGCUAGNGGUAAGGUAACGGCUUACCAAGGCAACGAUCCGUAGCCGGCCUGAGAGGGCGGUCGGCCACACUGACACUGAAAUACGGGUCAGACUCCUACGGGAGGCAGCAGUCGGGAAUUUUGGGCAAUGGGCGAAAGCCUGACCCAGCAACGCCGCGUGAAGGAUGAAAUCCCUCGGGAUGUAAACUUCGCAAGAACAGGAAGAAUAAGUAGGGGACAACUACCCCCUAUGAUGACGGUACUGUUUGUAAGCUCCGGCUAACUCCGUG